UCACUUGCGUGCAGAUGAUGGAAUUUAUAUUCAAAGAACAUGGAGGAUGACAGUUCUGUGGGGUAAUUCACAUUGAAAUGACUAUUCUGGAGAGAAUGAGCCUGCUGGGGAAAGACUU